GACGAACCGUGCGAACGUUGUUCGGAAUCACUGGGCUUAAAGGGCGCGUAGGCGGGUCAGCAAGUCCGGGGUGAAAUCUUUCGGCUUAACCGGAAAAGUGCCUUGGAUACUGCUGGUCUCGAGGGAGGUAGGGGCCUGCGGAACUUCUGGUGGAGCGGUGAAAUGCGUUGAUAUCAGAAGGAACGCCGGUGGCGAAAGCGGCGGGCUGGACCUCUUCUGACGCUGAGGCGCGAAAGCCAGGGGAGCAAACGGG
rnacentral:rRNA from 1 species